rnacentral:rRNA from 2 species
AGGGAUAAACGCUGAAAGCAUCUAAGCGUGAAGCCCCCCUCAAGAUGAGAUUUCCCAUUUCUUCGGAAAGUAAGAUCCCUGAAAGAUGAUCAGGUAGAUAGGUUUGGAGUGGAAGUGUAGCGAUACAUGGAGCGGACAAAUACUAAUCGAUCGAGGACUUAACCAAAA